rnacentral:rRNA from 1 species
GUCUAUGGCCAUACCACUCUGAACAACCCUAUCCCAUCUGAUCUUGGGAGCUAAGCAGGGUUGGGCCUGGUUAGUUGGAUGGGAGACCACCUAGGAAGACCGGGUGCUGUAGGUG